UGGGGAAUAUUGCACAAUGGGCGCAAGCCUGAUGCAGCAACGCCGCGUGAGGGAUGACGGCCUUCGGGUUGUAAACCUCUUUUAGCAGGGAAGAAGCGAAAGUGACGGUACCUGCAGAAAAAGCACCGGCUAACUACGUGCCAGCAGCCGCGGUAAUACGUAGGGUGCAAGCGUUGUCCGGAAUUAUUGGGCGUAAAGAGCUCGUAGGCGGUCUGUCGCGUCUGCUGUGAAAUCCCGAGGCUCAACCUCGGGCCUGCAGUGGGUACGGGCAGACUAGAGUGCGGUAGGGGAGAAUGGAACUCCUGGUGUAGCGGUGGAAUGCGCAGAUAUCAGGAAGAACACCGAUGGCGAAGGCAGUUCUCUGGGCCGUAACUGACGCUGAGGAGCGAAAGCGUGGGGAGCGAACAGGAUUAGAUACCCUGGUAGUCCACGCCGUAAACGUUGGGCGCUAGAUGUGGGGACCAUUCCACGGUUUCCGUGUCGCAGCUAACGCAUUAAGCGCCCGCCUGGGGAGUACGGCCGCAAGGCUAAAACU
rnacentral:rRNA from 1 species